rnacentral:piRNA from 1 species
UGCAGACACGAUCAGGGCUUUGUGUGGAA